CUGCCAUCAUACUGGGUUGUGCAUCUCAACGGCGAUUUCUUUUCAAACAGACCCACGCUGCAAGGCACACCAAGAAAGAAGGGAUCUCGGAUAAAACAGCAGAGACGAGACUUGGCAAAGGAACCUGGAGGCGAGAGUUACAUGCUUCCACCCCUUCCAUUCAGACUGGCCAACCCUGAACGACCAUGUUCUCAAAUACACAGACGAAGGAUGUGAUCAGGUCAAAACUUUUAAGCCACGCAAAGCAAUCAAGCAGAGAUUAAGCAUCGUCCAAGCCUUCCCCCUCCAAAUAGCUGAGCAGUCAUGACUGUGGUCCACAAGUAGAUGGAGCAUAGGGUUUCAAGCUCAUCAACUUCAUUGGGAAUCUGUCACCUAGUCCUGCUCUUCCAGCUUCAAUUUCUAAUGUGUCAGAUGAGCACAUCAACAGCCUAUGCCAGCCUUCCCCAACCUGAUGCUCUCUAGAUGUUUAGGACUACAGCUCCAUCAACACUG